rnacentral:rRNA from 1 species
AUGACUGUUGUUGUAAAGUGGCUCACAAUUCAGUCUUAUGCCUUAAGAGGCCAUGAUGAGAGAUCAGAGUCAAGAAACAAAGGUAACUUUUGUGAGAUGUUGAAGCUUCUUGCAGAAUUUUGUCCUGAUGUUCAAGCUGUAGUUCUUGGGAAUGCUCCACAAGUUUGCAAAUACAGAUCACAUGAAAUUCAAAAUGAGAUCUUGAGCAUUUAUGCUAUGAAAGCCAGGGAGCAUAUUUGAGCAGAAAUUUGGGACUCAAAGUACUAUAUUCUUGUGGAUGAAACAUGUGAUGUGUUCAAAAGAGAGCAAACGACACUAGUUUUCAGAUUUGUUGAUAAAGAUGAUUAUUCCCAAGGAAGAUUCUUUCAUCUCAUACAUGUAGCCAACACAAAAGCACUAACACUAAAGAUGGAGUUAUGUUCAGUAUUAUCCAAGCAUUGA